rnacentral:rRNA from 1 species
UGGGGAAUUUUGGACACUGGGCGAAAGCCUGAUCCAGCCAUGCCGCGUGAGUGAAGAAGGCCUUCGGGUUGUAAAGCUCUUUUAGUCGGAAAGAAAGAGUUGCAAUGAAUAAUUGUGAUUUAUGACGGUACCGACAGAAAAAGCACCGGCUAACUACGUGCCAGCAGCCGCGGUAAUACGUAGGGUGCGAGCGUUAAUCGGAAUUACUGGGCGUAAAGGGUGCGCAGGCGGUCUUGCAAGUCAGAUGUGAAAGCCCCGGGCUUAACCUGGGAAUUGCGUUUGAAACUACAAGACUAGAGUGCAGCAGAGGGGAGUGGAAUUCCAUGUGUAGCAGUGAAAUGCGUAGAGAUGUGGAAGAACACCGAUGGCGAAGGCAGCUCCCUGGGUUGACACUGACGCUCAUGCACGAAAGCGUGGGGAGCAAACA